ACUUUAUGGCUCCGAACAACGCCAGCAGGCAGUAAAUCAAGGGAGGGUUGCAACAGGCUGCACCAAGUAGGCACCUCGUGUUUGCUUGAGGAGGGAGCCCGAGGGAUGCCAGCCCAAUGCCAAGCUGUCCAGGGCCCCAGACAAGAGGGGGAGAAAGGCCGGAGAAGACAGGAGGCAACCAAGGCCCCAUCUACUCUCAAUAAAAGCCCGCCAAGCCCUAGUCCCUCUGCAAACCUUCCUUCUCUUCUUAAGAAAUGACAGAAAUCAGGAAAUAUUACUUCGGCUUGCAGGCUUCUGUCCUGGCCUAUCAAACCCACAGAGAAGUCCCAGCAAAUUACUGGAAACUGCACUUUGAACUUCGCCCCUGGCAAGGAGCCCAGUCAAACAGAAAUGUAAAAGUUCCUUUCCUCCGAGGGGCCCCUGCAUCAGGGUGUCCCUACAGACACUCGGGAGAGCUGAUUGCAACAGGUUGGAAUGAGGCCCCGAGCCAGGAAAACAAGCCCUGACCAGUAUGAUUUCCUACUGCCUGUGUUGUUUCUCAAAAAAGUUUUUUUUGGCUUGUUCGCUCUCGUUUUGUUGGACUGUGUUACAGGCUCAGGUCCCAUCGAGGAAAAGACUGGCACCGUUUUUCACAAAAUGCUUAAUCCUUGUUUAGUUCCAAAACAGCUCCAUCAGCCCCACCAGUAAAUCCGGUAUUUCCACCUCCGACAAGGGAGACAUCUUUCACUGCCCACUAGACUUCACAGCGGGGGCUGUCAGAGCACAAGAAGCUUCUGGGGUGCCCGUUCCCCGGCUGCUGCUUCUUAAGAGAAAACAACCAAAACACUGGCCUCUUUCUAGCUCUGUUCUAUUUCUAAGAAAACCAAAUUUUGCACCAACAAAUAAACUGACUCAUUACAAAACUAAGAGGUCAACAAGACAGAUAAAGCUGAAGGUUAAACAGCUGGAGAAACAAGCCUGUAUUCGUGCAGCAGUGGGAGCUCCUUGAAGGAAGUGGCAAAUCCCCCGGGGAUCCGUCAGCAACCUGCGAGGCGGAGGAGGGGCUGCCUCUAAGGCCACUUUCUGUCAUAUCAAACAUUCCUCUCUCAAGCACCAAAAUGGAUGCAAAUCACUGCCAGUUAGGCCAGCAGUGACCUAACUCUCCUCACGUGCACUUUCUCACAAUGGGGCUUUUUCCUAUGACACUUGUAUUGUUUCAUAUGUGGAGUCUGAAGAAUGCGGUCAUCUACUCUUCUGAUAAUGUUGUAAAGAAAAUUCCCCCCAAUGUGUUUUCUGUGUUCUCUCAAAGAUCUCGCAGGGAUGGGUAGCACUGCUUGUUCCAUCUCUCUAAGCCCACAGCUUCCCCUUCCCUGGC
ensembl:lncRNA